rnacentral:rRNA from 1 species
UGAGGAAUAUUGGACAAUGGGCGCAAGCCUGAUCCAGCCAUGCCGCGUGCAGGAUGAAGGCCUUCGGGUUGUAAACUGCUUUUGUACGGAACGAAAAGACUCCUUCUAAUAAAGGGGGUCCAUGACGGUACCGUAAGAAUAAGCACCGGCUAACUACGUGCCAGCAGCCGCGGUAAUACGUAGGGUGCGAGCGUUAAUCGGAGUUACUGGGCGUAAAGCGUGCGCAGGCGGUUAUAUAAGACAGAUGUGAAAUCCCCGGGCUCAACCUGGGAACUGCAUUUGUGACUGUAUAGCUAGAGUACGGCAGAGGGGGAUGGAAUUCCGCGUGUAGCAGUGAAAUGCGUAGAUAUGCGGAGGAACACCGAUGGCGAAGGCAAUCCCCUGGGCCUGUACUGACGCUCAUGCACGAAAGCGUGGGGAGCAAACA